UAUUCUGAAAACAUACAACUUAAGUAGCUGAUUCUGUGGAUAGUUGAAAUUCAAAUGUUGCGUACAUGCUUGAAGUCCUCGAAAACACUGUGUGGUUCUUAUUAUACUUUUAAUUUUGCUUCCAGAAAAAGAAAUUCUACAAAAAACUAGUGUCACUGUGGCUGGUGGGUUAAUGAGAGCUUUAUUUGAACUGCAUCAGUACACUGCAGAUUUUCCCCUCCUUUUCUUUAAAGAGUGAAGGGAUAACCAGGACCUCUGAGACUACAUGGACAGCCGGGACCACCCUUAAGUAUACAUAUAUUCUUUGACACAUCAUCUCCAUUUCUUUGUCCAUGUAAUUUCCACAAACUGUUGGUGCCAUUGACAAUGGAACCAAAUUCCUUAUGUGUGUGUGUGUGUGUAUAUAUAUAUAUAUAUAUAUAUAUAUAAACAUUCUAUGAUAUAAUUAUAUUUUUACAGUUUGUUUAUCUAUUUUAAGGGCCCUCCUGGAGUUCCAGGCAAACAGAGGAGGAAAGGAGAGCGAGGGAAACUCAUAGGGAAGAAUAGGACCGGUUGGAAUGCCAGGGUCACCUGGGAGACCAGGACCAGAGGGCACAGCUGGGAAGGAUGGGGAGACGGGCCCUCCAGGACAACCUGGGGAGGAUGGCCCAAAAGGUUAUGUGGGAGAGAAGGGCAGGAGCUGGGUGAGUGGGGAUUGAAAGCACAGCGUGGAAUGAAAGGAGAUUCUGGCCAAAAGGGAGAUUUAGUGAGUUCACUAAAAUAUUUACAAAAGCUCUGGCCAAGUAAACAACAUUUUUUAUUUAGAGCCAGAUGUACACUGUUCUCAGACCAAAAAAAAAAAAAAACAGAGA
ensembl:lncRNA